GAGCAACAAAAAGAAAAGAGUGAGAAAGAGAGAAAAUAAAAAAUGUAGGAGAGAAAAAAGAGAAAGAAGCGAGAGAGAAAAAUCUGACGGGUUUACUCAAGUAAUUAAUGUUUUUUUUUAUUUCAUUAUAAAAUCUGAAAGAACAAUUCCCUUUAAUAUAAAACCCUUCCCAAAUGUCGUUCUGGUCCUGAAAUUCUCAGCGAAAUUCUUGCUGAAGAAAACAACAGCGAAGUUCUUGGUGAAGAAAACAACAACAAAAUUCUGGGCAUUGAUAUCUUUUACUUCAUUUGAAGCUUCACUGGUCUUUCGACAAAAAAUUCUUGGAUGUAAAGGUGAUGAAGGCGAUGAAAGCAGUAGUGAAGACUUGAUAUAGUAGCUGAUGUGUGGUGCUUGUGUUUCACCUUUUUUUGCAUUGGAAAAAAAUAUUUGUAUGUUUGUUUUAUUGAUAUUAGCCUAUAUGGAUGUUGAAUUAUAUAAUUGGUAAUGAACAUUUCUUUUCAUGAA